rnacentral:rRNA from 1 species
GAUGAACGCUGGCGGCGUGCCUAAUACAUGCAAGUCGAGCGAACGGACGAGAAGCUUGCUUCUCUGAUGUUAGCGGCGGACGGGUGAGUAACACGUGGAUAACCUACCUAUAAGACUGGGAUAACUUCGGGAAACCGUAGCUAAUACCGGAUAAUAUUUUGAACCGCAUGGUUCAAAAGUGAAAGACGGUCUUGCUGUCACUUAUAGAUUGAUCCGCGCUGCAUUAGCUAGUUGGUAAGGUAACGGCUUACCAAGGCAACGAGGCAUAGCCGACCUGAGCGGGAGGUCGGAUACACGGGAACUGAGACAGGGUCCAGACUCCUACGGGAGGAAGCAGUAGGGAAUCUUCCGCGAUGGGCGAGAGCCGGACGGAGCAACGCCGCGUGAGUGAUGAAGGUCUUCGGAUCGUAGAACUCUGUUAUUAGGGAAGAACAUAUGUGUAAGUAACUGUGAACAUCUUGACGGUACCUAAUCAGAAAGCCACGGCUAACUACGUG